rnacentral:rRNA from 1 species
AUUGAACGCUGGCGGCAGGCCUAACACAUGCAAGUCGAGCGCGCGGCGGAGGGGUGAGUAAUGUAUGUGGAAUGCCCGAGAUAGGGGGAUAACGACUGGAAACGGUGGCUAAUACCGCAUACGGCCGGAUACCCCACAUGGGAUUAGCUAGUCGGUCAGGUACUGGCUUACCUAGGCGACGAUCCCUAGCUGGUCUGAGAGGCUGAUCAGCCACACUGGUACUGAGACACGGUCCAGACGCCUACGGAGGCAGCAGUGGGGAAUAUUGCACAAUGGGCGCAAGCCUGAUGCAGCCAUGCCGCGUGUAUGAAGAAGGCCCUAGGGUGGUAAAGUACUUUCAGUCGGGAGGCGUUACCGACAGAAGAAGCACCGGCUAACUCCGUGCCAGCAGCCGCGGUAAUAC